ensembl:snRNA U6 U6 spliceosomal RNA
GCUCCAAGAAGACACGGCGGCACAUAUACUUAAAUUGGAUCGAUACAGAGAAGAUUACCAUGGUCCCUGCGAAAGGAUGACACGCAAAUCAGUGAAGCACUCCAUCUUUAU